AUCGCGAGAUCAGGAAGGUGGCCGAGUGUGUCGCCGCGGCCAUCAGGCACUUCUCCUUCCUGCCCUUGUAUGAAGAAGGAUGUGUUUGCUUCCCCUUGUGCCAUGAUUGUAAAUUUCCUGAGGCCUCCUCAGCCCUGCAGAACUGGCUAGAGCAAUGUAUCUUAGGCUCACUUAAGGAAGCUGUAGAGAUGAGCCCAAGGAGGGAAACCAGAAGAGCCCCCCAGGCUCACCAGUUGUUUGUUGGCUCCCUACAAACAUGUCAUUCAAGUGGCUAAUCUUACAACAGCACAAAUUCAUCUAACCAGCAGAAAGAGAAGAGGAGGCUCCAAAGGCACUUGACUACUGAGCAUCACCCUGGACGUGUACAAGUCUGCGUCCUUAUUGUUUUCUUCAUUGGGCCGAACUUUCUGGUCCUCAUCCAACAGCUCUUCUAUCACGUGUUCGAAAGUGUCAGCCAAUGAUGUCAAGCCUCUUGAACCUGCCUUGGGCCCAUUCACGCUCUCCAGAGUCCCAUGGGUCCGCACACCUGGAGAUACUCUAUUAUAGCAAAGAAGAAAGAUAAUUUCAUUGAGCCAUCCUGUUUUACAGCACCCAACAGAAUCCCUUCAAAGCCUCGUGGUCUGACACCCUAUGCUACGUGACUUGUGACCCAUCCAUUUGUCAUGUUCUUCGGGAAUGUGGCUAAGGGGCUAAGAUGUGACUUGAAAAGAAAGGUAGAACAAGAUCAUCUCAAAUUUAUUAUCAAGGAAUAGUUCAGAAAACGACUUCAGACCACAGAGACAGCAGAACAGAUGGUCCGGCAUGGAUAGAGCAUCAGACACUCACAGACUGUGCCAACAAGAGCCAUCGAGUCAAAACAGCCAAAGGAAGGAGGGUCAUGGAAUGGGUUCUCUCACACCAAACUGAUGCCCAGAGGCCCUCAGCAUGAAUAACAAAGGCAACCAGACCCACAAGCCAUACUGAGUGGAUACAAAACCUAUACCUAGGCUGACAUCCCAAAUGUGUGUGGCAAGUUAGAUGAUGAUGGCACAAAAGACAGAACACCUUGCUUCUGGCCAUUGUCAGCUCUUGGAAGAGAGCACACUUUUAGAGGAGCAGCUGCAAGGAGCCUGAGAACAAAACUGGAAAUGUCUGUUAUGAAAGCCUUCACAGGAAAUUCUGCAAGUGGCAACGUGGGUCCAUUCCGUGUGUGUCACUAGAGCUGGCGCAAGCCCAUGGCCAUGGUGAGGCAGCGUUUCCACUGGAACUAAUCUGAUACCUGCACCAGCUCUUGCAACUGUGCAGUGUUCCCACUGCAAACUACGGAUGGGAAUGUCUGCAAUAUCUGCUGGCUUUAUGUUUCAUAUGAUAAGCAUAUCGUCUGUGCCUUCAGACACAUUAUCAGCCAACAUGUCGGUGCUGGAUGUAUUUUCCCAAUGUUGCAUAAGAGGAAUACCUUCGAGAGUUUGGCCUAGGAAUGUGGCCUGGGACUCCGCCAAGCAUCUCUCUCCAGCAAAAUGACUGCAAAUUUCUCGACCUUCAGAUUCUACAUGAUGUAAAAGAAGUUUGUCUGUGUUUAAAAACACAUUCAAGAAAUAAGUGAACAUGUGAAAAGACAGAAAAACUUGUUUUAAUUUGGGCAUAGUUUCAGUUUUCAAAGGCACAUGAAGGCAGAAAGAAAGAAUCACAAAAUGGAACUACUGAUGAUAGCAACUCCAAAACCAAGACUGAUUAGACUAAAUCCCAUGUGGCAAAAAUUUUAUUUAGUAAGUUUCCUUCUCCCUCUCUCCCUUUAGAUAUAUGUGCAUACACACACACGCACCUUUAUUUUAGUAAUUUUUUUUUUCUGAAAAAGAAAGUUUUCUGCACCUGAUUGCUUCCAUGAAUAACACAAAGCACAAACAAUAUGACUUUCUUUGGUUAUCAUGCAAUUUUUUCUCUGCUUACCAGAAAUUGGCACAAAUUUAAGAUAUACUAUAUUCUACUCCCUGAAGCACAGUCGCUGGCAUCUCCACUGGCAUUUAAAAAUUUGAAGACAUUUAAAAGAAAAUCCACAAGCUUAUAGUUGCUGUCUAAAUCAACUUUAACAUUUCAUAUAUUCACAAUUUCAUAAGUGAAUCAAAUUACACAUAAGAAAUUAUAGAACUAAGCCAACUAAAUGACUUUUAUAAUAGGUACUGGGGAAAAAUAUUAUUAAACCUUUUCCUCCAAUUUCUGCCUUUCUUCCAGCAAGACAAACCAUUUUCAUGAAGUUUCUGUCUACAUCACUAGUGAUAAUCUGAAGCAGCCAUUAAUCAAUCUAUUAGUGCAUUCAGCAACAUUUAUCAAAGUGCCUCCCCAGAACUGUUUUGGAUGCUGUUGUGGGCGCAUGCAAAAAUGAACUAAAUAUAGAUUUUUGUCAUCCAAGAAUUUUAAGUCAAUUUGUAAUUAUUGGUUCCUGGUUCCAUAACUUUUUUUUUUUUUUUUUUUGGUGCUGGCUCAGAUGUAUACCUUCAUCUAUUCUAAGGUUAAGGCAA
ensembl:lncRNA BDNF-AS BDNF antisense RNA